rnacentral:tRNA from 1 species
CUCUAGAUGACUGAAAGCAAGUAAUGGUCUCUUAAACCAAAAUAUGGUAUGUUAGCAUAUACCUCUAGUGA